AUGCAUGAUCUUGAGCUUGAGCAGUUAGAUGUUAAGACUACUUUUCUGCAUGGAGAACUGGAGGAGAUUUACAUGGACCAACCAGAAGGAUUCAUAGUGCCUGGUAAGGAGAAAUUUGUUCGCAAAUUAAAGAGGUCCCAAUAUGGUUUGAAACAGUCUCCGAGACAGUGGUACAAAAGGUUUGAUUCAUUUAUGAUAGCACAUGGAUUUAAGAGGUAUGCAUAUGAUAGUUGUGUUUACAUUAAAUUUGUUGAUGGAUCACCUAUAUACUUAUUGUUAUAUGUCGAUGAUAUGUUGAUUGCUGCCAAGGGCAAUAAAGAGAUCACUGCUUUAAAAGCACAGUUAAAUAGUGAGUUUGAGAUGACGGAUCUUCGUGCUGCUAAAAAAAUUCUAGGUAUGGAGAUUAUGAAGGAUAGAAACUCUGGUUUGUUAUUUCUUAGUCAGCAGAGUUGCAUUGAGAAAGUUCUUCAUCGUUUUAACAUGCAUGAUGCUAAGUUAGUAAGCACUCCCAUUGCUCCUCAUUUCAAAUUAUCAUCUUCUCAAUGUCCUAGUACGGAUGAAGAUUUUGAGUAUAUGCCAAGAGUUCCAUAUUCUAGUGUUGACGAUUCUUUAAUGUAUGGCAUGGUGUGUUCUAGGCCUGAUUUGUCAUUUGCAAUGAGUUUGGUCAGUAGAUACCUGGCUAACCCUGGUAAAGAACAUUGGAAGGUUGUUCGGUGGAUUUUCAGGUACCUUCGUGGCACUUCAAUGCUUGUUUGA
rnacentral:rRNA from 1 species